AGAAAGACUGUAGAGUUAACGGUGAAAUCUCUUGUGGGUUGCAGUAUCUUCCAAGGAAAUCACCGAUUGAACCGUCAUUGCCAUUGCCAAAGGGAUCGCUCUGACCCAAAGGUAAGUAAUUUAGGGUUUGCUCUGUUUCCUUGUCCAUGUUCAUCUAAAAAAGACCACAACUUUGAUAAAAAAAGGUGAAAUUUUUCAACUUCUCUGGGAAUUCUGAAGAAAACCCAGAAUCUGAAUCAGAAAGCAAGAUUGGAAUUGAAGUGGAAACAACCAAAUUGUGAAGUAAAAAGAGAAACUUUAUUUGUGUUUCUUCAAACAAAGUGACAACUUUUAACUAAGACCGUUGAGAAAAAUGUAAGCUUUUUCCCAAUUAUGGGUUUUGUGGAAAGAUCUAUGAGGGAAAUGAGGAAAUGAGUCAGAGGAACUAGAAAUGAAGAAGCAUGAUUGAUCAAUCAAAGUAGAGGAAAGAGGAAAGAGAGAAAGAGGCGGUGACUUUUUUUACUGAUCAAGGAUGAGGAAGAUGAAGAAGAAGAAGGUUUAAGAGAAAAUGACAAAAAAAAUUAAAAAAGAGAAAGAGGGAAAGUAAUGAUAAGAAAAUUCUAAUUAAAAUUAGGAAAUUAAAAGAGUGAGUUUUACAGUUCAAAAGGAGAAGAAUCUUACGUGUGUUUAUGUUAAUGUGGGAACAUUAGAUGGUGAAAGUGGGUAGGCUGCUUAGGCUGGCCUCUGUAAUCAUUGGAGUGAGAAGAAGAGAGAGAGAAGAGAGAGAAGAGAGCAUGUGCAUGGCAGAGACAGGAAAGUUGUGGGAGAGAAAACAAACAAAAGGAUAAAAUUGUUUGUUAAUUAUCAUGUUUAAUUAUUCUUGGUUAAGAUACUGUAUUACUCACCAAAACAUGAUGGUGUCAAAAAGUCAAUAAUUGACUUGGAAGGGGUUUUAGAUCUUGAAUUUGAUGAAUUAUUUGUUGUUGUUUUAUUAAAAUCAAGGGAAGC
rnacentral:lncRNA from 1 species